rnacentral:rRNA from 1 species
AAUAGAUACCCUGGUAGUCCACCCCGUAAACGUUGGGAACUAGUUGUGGGGUCCAUUCCACGGAUUCCGUGACGCAGCUAACGCAUUAAGUUCCCCGCCUGGGGAGUACGGCCGCAAGGCUAAAACUCAAAGGAAUUGACGGGGACCCGCACAAGCGGCGGAGCAUGCGGAUUAAUUCGAUGCAACGCGAAGAACCUUACCAAGGCUUGACAUAUACGAGAACGGGCCAGAAAUGGUCAACUCUUUGGACACUCGUAAACAGGUGGUGCAUGGUUGUCGUCAGCUCGUGUCGUGAGAUGUUGGGUUAAGUCCCGCAACGAGCGCAACCCUCGUUCUAUGUUGCCAGCACGUAAUGGUGGGAACUCAUGGGAUACUGCCGGGGUCAACUCGGAGGAAGGUGGGGAUGACGUCAAAUCAUCAUGCCCCUUAUGUCUUGGGCUUCACGCAUGCUACAAUGGCCGGUACAAAGGGCUGCAAUACCGCGAGGUGGAGCGAAUCCCAAAAAAGCCGGUCCCAGUUCGGAUUGAGGUCUGCAACUCGACCUC